AGGUGGAACAGCAGAAGCGCCAUGAGUAUCAUAUUUCCCAUCUCGUUGCUCUUUAACCUUCCGCGGAGGCUUCAAAAUCUACCAAAAAUCCUGAAUAUUUGAAGGAAAACGUGAACGACGAGUGUUUACAGCCGUAAAGAGAAACAAGUUUCCCCACAGAGAAGCUGUGUCGAAGGCGGAUCAUCCCCCUCCCCCCACUCCGGCCUCAGGUGACAUCACUAACCCCGCCCUCUAUGACAGGUGCAAGAUGGAGGAAGAAAAGAAGAGCGCGAGAGGGAAAGUCAGCAACGACGUGAUGUUACCUCCAAUCAUCAGCUCGUGCCUGACAUGUCACAUUGUCAAUACACAUAUUUAAACUUUGUCAGUGUGUGUGUGUGUGUACCCGCUGUUAGUCCUGACACACACUUUUAGGAUUUCCAGUUCAGAUUUUGAUUUCAGUGUCAAAUUAUGGCAAAACACCGAUCUGAACCAGGAUUUUGACACUUAUUCAUUAACUGUUUACUUAAAUCAACCGCUCGUUUGGCUGACAUGAAGAUUUUUAUAAAGCUUUUAAAUUGUUUCCUACACAGUCAAGGAUGAAGCUCAGUUGAGGAAAUAUUGAAUCCUUUGUUAAUUACUUGCCAAAGUCUUGUCAAACUUAUUUGAAUCAGCCUUUGUGUCCAUCAUCAUAAUGAAACAUUUUACUGUGUGCUGGUAACUAAAUCUAACAAUCCAUAAGUGUUGCCAAGGCAAGAAUAACCUAAGAGCUAAAAGCUGACUUACUAUGAGGGAGAAUCAGUCAGUUGGUCUGAGUUCACUGUUAAAUAUGAUGAAUAUACAAAUUACUAAUGUCUAUUAAUAUUUUAAUUCUUUCUGCUUGCUACAAAAAACCCUUCCACUCUUUUAUUGAGUCUCUUCAUGGUCCAGAGUGUGACACGAACAAAAAGAAAGCUUUAUUUAUAAACGACCGAUGUAUUAAUGUUGUUUUCUGCUGUGUUUUGCUGCAGCUGGUGAGUCUAUAAGAAUGCUGUUUACGUGACAUAUGAAUUCAUUCUUUCUGUAAAUGUUUACAUCCAGUCCAUCAAAGCAGUGUGAAAGAAGUUUAAAUUAAAAGGCGGGAGACACAAUCUGAAUAAACCCGAAUGAAGUAGAAGCAGCUCA